UACGUAGGGUGCAAGCGUUGUCCGGAAUUAUUGGGCGUAAAGAGCUCGUAGGCGGUCUGUCGCGUCUGCUGUGAAAACUCGGGGCUUAACCCCGGGCCUGCAGUGGGUACGGGCAGACUAGAGUGCGGUAGGGGAGACUGGAAUUCCUGGUGUAGCGGUGAAAUGCGCAGAUAUCAGGAGGAAUACCGGUGGCGAAGGCGGGUCUCUGGGCCGUAACUGGACGCUGAGGAGCGAAAGCGUGGGGAGCGAACAGG
rnacentral:rRNA from 1 species